rnacentral:rRNA from 1 species
UACGUAGGUGGCAAGCGUUGUCCGGAUUUACUGGGCGUAAAGAGCGCGCAGGCGGUCGUUCAAGUCGCGUGUGAAAGCCCCCGGCUCAACUGGGGAGGGUCACGCGAUACUGAUCGACUCGAAGGCAGGAGAGGGUAGUGGAAUUCCCGGUGUAGUGGUGAAAUUCGUAGAUAUUGGGAAGAACACCGGUGGCGAAGGCGGCGACCUGGUCCGAUACUGACGCUGAGGCGCGAAAGCGUGGGGAGCAAACAGG